rnacentral:piRNA from 1 species
UGCCAGUUAGGGUGCAAGGUAUGGAUUUGU